GUCCUGUGGCUGUGGGCAGCUCUCUGCUCCAGGUGCUGACAGCUCCUCUGAUGGCGCCUUCUCAACUGGUUCAUCUGUUCUCAGCCUCAUGCCGUUCUCUUUCUGUGUGUAUGUGCGGGUGCGUUGGCAUGAGUGUGUGUGUAGGUGGGGGGUGGGGUGGGGUUAAGGGGGCACCUGGGAUAGUUUUUUGUUUUUGUUUUUCACUUGUAAAGCACUUUGAGUCACAUUUCUGUUGGAAAAGCGCUUUAUAAAUAAAGUUUGAUUUGAUUUGAUUUGAUACACAGUCAGACCUUCUCUGUGCAGGUACAGGAAGUGAGGAGAACCCUGAGGGCAGUGAACCCCCGUAAAGCUGCUGGACCUGAUGGUGUGACAGGGAGGGUGCUGAGGGACUGCGCUGACCAGCUAGCUGGGGUUUUCACCAACAUCUUUAAUUAGUCCCUCACCCAGUGCUCCAUCCCACCCUGCCUAAAGUCCUCCACCAUCAUCCCUCUGCCAAAAAAGAGCAACACCAGUAGCAUAAAUGAAGAAAGGCC